AACAUUUGGAGAAGUAAAGAAAAGAGAAGGGAGGAGAGAGCACCGAAUGAGAGAGAGAGAGAGAGAGAGAGUUCAAAUCUUUGUGCUGGAAAUGAUGAAGAAAGGUUAAGGAAAAGCUUGGAAAAGUGCAAGAUUGAAUAAGUGUUCAAGAUUUUGUCAAGAAUUCACCAAAUUGAAGAUUUAAGGUGGCCAAGCACCGGACCAGAGCUAGAGGCACUGACUUAGACUCAUGUUUUGUCAAGCCAAGCAUCAUGCCUCAUAUUGAGGUUCUGAACCUGCACAAGUCAAGGCUGUUUUGGGGUGUUUCAGUUUCACCCUUUUUGUCUAUAUUAAUGUACUGAAUGUCUAAGACUUCUGAUUGUACAGUUAUGGUGUAGGGAUUAGGUCCCUAACCUGUAUGCUACUUUGUAUAUGUGUUUUUGGUGUGUAGGCAUACAUAUGGCUAUGAAUGUGGUUAUGUCCAUAAAAGUUUUCCCAUUCAGGUUA